rnacentral:lncRNA from 12 species
AAGGAAAUGAGUUGGGCAUGGGGGAGUAUGGCUGGAAGAGGAAGCUUGGGGCCUUUUGACCCAGAUUUUACACGAUAGACCUGUACUCUCUUCUCUGUAAACAGCUGAACUAUAACGGAAAUUCCAGGAUCUCAGCAAAUAGUAAUGAAAUGGAGCUGGUCAAUGAGUCAACAAAUGUUUUUAUUUUCCGUAAGCUGCGUGCUGGGAACCCUGUGGAAAGCAAGACAGCUUGGUGUCCGUCUCUUUAGGUCUAGGGAUGACAUCAGUUUCAUACUUCCUUUUUCAGUUCUCUGUCAACUGAGCUCGGACCAGGCCAAGUAAGGGUUAAAGUGGAGUGUGUGGACUGGACACGUAAAGUAAGUGACGGUAAAGGUGGUUCAAGGGAUCCCACCAAUAAGGCCGCCUACUACGUCUACUACGCAUUAGAGGACGGGGGAGACCCUGACUUGAAGAGUUCUCCAAUAUUGCCCCCCUCUGGAGGGUAGACGACUACUCCCAAGAAAUCAUGGAAAAUGGAUGCGAGCGUCUGCUCACUGCCGACGUGAAGUUUCUGUCCAGUCGGUUGGGUGGAGUGAGAACACCAGAGAGAGGAGCAAGUCGACUCCAUCUUGGAUGAGCCGCCUCGUGCCCCUCCCAUAAACUGAUCGCGGAGUCUCAGCGACGUAACCCAGUAGGGAUUUAGUCCGCGCUCACAUAGUGUCUGUUGUGCAUCUGGCGGCUCUCUGGAGCAGCACGCCUUGAAGCGCUUCUCAGUAAAGGGACAUCAGAGCUCAUAUGGCAACUUAGUGACCGAGGCACCUGUCACCAGUGACUGUCCUUACGGCCUCGAUGCGGACUGGCUCAAGAGCAGGACGUUGUCGGGAGGACUCUAAUCCUAAAAGGAGAGCCCUCCUGACGCCCCCAGAGUCUGCACUGGGCCCCCCAGGUGCUCCCGCGGCAGCCCGCCUGCCUCCACUGUGGGCUCCCACGGGGUCUGUGCUGUCUCGCAGGAGGAGCUACGUCUUUUGUCUUGCCGUUCCGAUGUCUCGUGCCCAGUAAGAUGUGAGAUGCCCAAGCUGCAGGCAGACCUGAACACAUGCUUCACGAAGCUUCACUUUGUUCGCUCAUAGAAGACAGUUUCGAUUGAAAAUCUUGGAAAGAAACAGCUUGACCAGGAGAAGAUUUGCAAAUAGUCUUUUAUUUCACUUCCGCCAUAUGGUCUGUGCCCAUAUGCUAAUCUUCAGGUCCUGCUCUCAGUGACCCUACCCCCUCGUCCUGGGACUCUCUUGUUGACACAAACCAGUCACACACCUAAGACGCUCGCAGUUUAUUCACUUCCACGCAACUUUACUGAAUACGUACUCCUCACAUUCACUGUUGUUGAGAUUAGGUCACGCGGUCAGGGUAUCUGUAUCCAAUGUUUUUUUCUUAUUCUUUCAUUUCUUCAACAAAUACAAAGCUUUC